AUGCGGCUGCCCCGGCCUGGCCCCGCAGACCAAGGUUUGACCCCCGGCCUCACUCCCCACCCCCCUUCCUCGCUCACGCACACGAUGAAGCACCCGGCGGCGCUGCUGCUGAUACUAGCGGCAGCUGCUCUUGUGCUGCUGAUACUAGCGCCAGCUGCUCAUGUGCUGCUGCCUUCUGCGCAAUACCACUGGCUCAACCCCGAGAUCCACGACGCCGGCGGGCUGAGCCGGCAGGGCUUCCCGGAGGGGUUCGUGUUCGGGACGGCCACUUCGGCGUACCAGGUGGAGGGGAUGGCGGAGCAGGGAGGGCGAGGGCCAAGCAUCUGGGACGCCUUCAUCAAGAUACCAGGGACGAUCGCCAGCAACGGCACCGCCGAUGUGGCGGUCGAUGAGUACCACAGGUACAAGGAGGAUGUGGACAUAAUGAAGAACAUAGGCUUCGAGGCCUACCGGUUUUCCAUCUCUUGGUCGAGGAUUUUCCCAGAUGGGACUCAGAAGGUGAACUGGGAAGGAGUGGAUUACUACAACAGGCUCAUAGAUUACAUGCUUGAGCAAGGCAUCACUCCAUAUGCAAACCUCUAUCACUAUGACCUCCCACUGGCACUCCAUCAGCGGUACCUUGGCUGGCUAAGCCCAAACAUAGUGGGCGCGUUUGCAGACUAUGCCGAUUUCUGUUUCAAGGUGUUCGGAGACAGGGUGAAGAAUUGGUUUACCUUCAAUGAGCCGAGGUGCGUCGCUGCUCUGGGGUAUGACAUUGGCCUCCAUGCACCGGGGAGGUGUUCUCAGUGCUCUGCAGGAGGUGACUCCACGACAGAGCCGUACCUUGCCGCGCACCAUCUCAUACUUUCACAUGCUGCGGCUGUGCGGCGAUACCGUGACAAGUAUCAGCAUCACCAAAAGGGGAAGAUUGGAAUUCUCUUGGAUUUUGUGUGGUACGAACCUUUGAGCAACAGUAAUGCUGAUCGAGCUGCAGCACAGAGGGCAAGGGACUUCCACCUUGGAUGGUUCCUUGACCCCAUCAUCCAUGGUCACUACCCAUUCACGAUGCUCGAGAUUGUCAAGGAUCGGUUGCCACGCUUCAGUGAUGAUGAGUCCAGGAUGGUAAAAGGAUCCAUUGACUAUGUUGGUAUCAACCAAUACACUUCUUUCUACAUGAAGGACAAUGGGACUUGGAACCUCACGCCUGUCAGUUACCAGCAUGAUUGGCAUGUUGAAUUUGUCUUUAAACGAAAUGGCGUGCCUAUUGGAGCUCAUGCAAACUCCUACUGGCUUUACAUUGUGCCAUGGGGAAUCAACAAGGCUGUGACCUAUGUUAAAGAAAGAUAUGGAAAUCCUAUAAUGAUCCUUGCUGAAAACGGGAUGGACCAACCUGGCAACAUCAGCAUCGCUGAUGGUGUGCGCGACACAGUAAGAAUCCGGUACUACAGAGACUACAUAACCGAGCUCAAGAAGGCGAUAGACGAUGGCGCCCGGGUGAUCGGGUACUUUGCUUGGUCUCUGCUUGACAACUUCGAGUGGAGACUCGGCUACACCGCCCGUUUCGGUAUUGUCUAUGUGGACUACAAGACUCUGAAGAGGUACCCAAAGGACUCAGCGUUAUGGUUCAAGAACAUGCUCUCCGAGAAGAAGAGGAGCUAG
rnacentral:rRNA from 1 species